rnacentral:rRNA from 1 species
GACGAACGCUGGCGGCGUGCUUAACACACGCAAGUCGAACGGUAAGGCCCUUCGGGGUACACGAGUGGCGAACGGGUGAGUAACACGUGGGUGAUCUGCCCUGCACUUCGGGAUAAGCCUGGGAAACUGGGUCUAAUACCGGAUAGGACCACUGCCUGCAUGGGUGGUGGUGGAAAGCUUUUGCGGUGUGGGAUGGGCCCGCGGCCUAUCAGCUUGUUGGUGGGGUGAUGGCCUACCAAGGCGACGACGGGUAGCCGGCCUGAGAGGGUGACCGGCCACACUGGGACUGAGAUACGGCCCAGACUCCGACGGGAGGCAGCAGUGGGGAAUAUUGCACAAUGGGCGCAAGCCUGAUGCAGCGACGCCGCGUGAGGGAUGACGGCCUUCGGGUUGUAAACCUCUUUCAGUAGGGACGAAGCGCAAGUGACGGUACCUACAGAAGAAGGACCGGCCAACUACGUGCCAGCCGCCGCCGUAA